rnacentral:rRNA from 1 species
UACGUAGGGGGCUAGCGUUGUCCGGAUUUAUUGGGCGUAAAGAGCGUGUAGGCGGCCAGGUAGGUCUGCUGUGAAAACUCGAGGCUUAACCUCGAGACGUCGGUGGAAACCAUCUGGCUAGAGUCCGGAAGAGGAGAGUGGAAUUCCCGGUGUAGCGGUGAAAUGCGCAGAUAUCGGGAAGAACACCCGUGGCGAAAGCGGCUCUCUGGGACGGUACUGACGCUGAGACGCGAAAGCGUGGGGAGCGAACAGG